rnacentral:rRNA from 1 species
GACGAACGCUGGCGGCGUGCCUAACACAUGCAAGUCAACUUGACUGAAGGAGCAAUCUGACAGUAGAGUGGCGCAAGGGUGCGUAACGCGUAAGUAACUUGCCCAAGGUAAGGAAUAACGUCGAGAAAUCGGCGCUAAUACCUCAUAAUGCAGCGGAUCCGCAUGGAUAUGUUGUUAAAGGUUUACCGCCUUGGGAUAGGCUUGCGUCUGAUUAGUUAGUUGGUGUGGUAACGGCACACCAAGGCUACGAUCAGUAACUGGUCUGAGAGGAUGAUCAGUCACACUGGAACUGAGACACGGUCCAGACUCCUACGGGAGGCAGCAGUGAGGAAUAUUGGGCAAUGCUCGAAAGAGUGACCCAGCAACGCCGCGUGGAGGAUGAAGGUAUUCUAUAUCGUAAACUCCUGUGAGAGCAGACGAAGACAGAUUAUAAUCUGGAUGACUGUAUGCUCAGAGGAAGCCCCGGCUAACUACGU